GGCGUAAAGAGCUCGUAGGUGGUUUGUCGCGUUGUUCGUGAAAUCUCACGGCUUAACUGUGAGCGUGCGGGCGAUACGGGCAGACUAGAGUACUGCAGGGGAGACUGGAAUUCCUGGUGUAGCGGUGGAAUGCGCAGAUAUCAGGAGGAACACCGGUGGCGAAGGCGGGUCUCUGGGCAGUAACUGACGCUGAGGAGCGAAAGCGUGGGGAGCGAACAGGAUUAGAUACCCUGGUAGUCCACGCCGUAAACGGUGGGUACUAGGUGUGGGUUUCCCUCCUUGGGAUCCGUGCCGUAGCUAACGCAUUAAGUACCCCGCCUGGGGAGUACGGCCGCAAGGCUAAAACUCAAAGGGAUUGACGGGGGCCCGCACAAGCGGCGGAGCAUGUGGAUUAAUUCGAUGCAACGCGAAGAACCUUACCUGGGUUUGACAUGCACAGGACGCGUCUAGAGAUAGGCGUUCCCUUGUGGCCUGUGUGCAGGUGGUGCAUGGCUGUCGUCAGCUCGUGUCGUGAGAUGUUGGGUUAAGUCCCGCAACGAGCGCAACCCUUGUCUCAUGUUGCCAGCGGGUAAUGCCGGGGACUCGUGAGAGACUGCCGGGGUCAACUCGGAGGAAGGUGGGGAUGACGUCAAGUCAUCAUGCCCCUUAUGUCCAGGGCUUCACACAUGCUACAAUGGCCGGUACAAAGGGCUGCGAUGCCGUAAGGCUAAGCGAAUCCUUUUAAAGCCGGUCUCAGUUCGGAUUGGGGUCUGCAACUCGACCCCAUGAAGUCGGAGUCGCUAGUAAUCGCAGAUCAGCAACGCUGCG
rnacentral:rRNA from 1 species